rnacentral:rRNA from 1 species
UGGGGAAUAUUGGACAAUGGACCAAAAGUCUGAUCCAGCAAUUCUGUGUGCACGACGAAGUUUUUCGGAAUGUAAAGUGCUUUCAGUUGGGACGAAGAAAGUGACGGUACCAACAGAAGAAGGGGCGGCUAAAUACGUGCCAGCAGCCGCGGUAAUACGUAUGCCCCGAGCGUUAUCCGGAUUUAUUGGGCGUAAAGCGCGUCUAGGUGGUUUAAAAAGUCUGAUGUUAAACUGCGGGGCUCAACUCCGUAUUGCGUUGGAAACUGUUAGACUAGAGUAUUGGAGAGGUGGGCGGAACUACAAGUGUAGAGGUGAAAUUCGUAGAUAUUUGUAGGAAUGCCGAUGGGGAAGCCAGCUCACUGGACAAAUACUGACGCUAAAGCGCGAAAGCGUGGGGAGCAAACAGG